AAAGCACGACUUGAAAACAGAGUUAAAGUGGUUAGUCUUUAUUUGUUGCACAAACAAGUUAAAAGAGUAACCAGGCGUGUGGAGGGAAGCUCCGUGAAGCAAGGAUGAUUCCCAGGCUGAGGCAGACAGUCCGUGAGCACAGGCAGAUUGGGCGGGGACUGCUGGCUGGAAUGUAUCUGGUGAGAUCAGGCAGGCACCGCGAGGACAGCUGACUGAAGAGAAGCGGUGAACUUGCGGUGAGAAGCUUCUGAAGGUGAGUAGCUCGGAGGCAGGUGCUGGUUAGAGGCGUGAACCACUAGUAUAAAUAGACAAUCUGGCAAAGACUGGUGAGAAGAGCCGGGUAGAUAUACUGCAUGGUCUCGAUUGGUGGAUGGAGAACAAGUGAGUAGCAGCAGAUGAGUAGCAGGUGUGUCAGAUUCUGAGUGGAGGUUCACCGGAUGCCACGCUCCACCAGCACAGACAUACACAGACAAGCACAGGAGGGGAACCAACAGGGGACAAACAGACAACAGUGUCACUAGGAGUGGUACAGCUGUAUCAUGACAGAAAAUGGAAGGCCCCAGUCGGUUUGGCACGGUCCCUGCUGCAAGGUUCCCUUCUCUCCAUCUAUCACCAUCAUUGGCUCAGAUUUUCUGCAUCGUUGAAGUGCUCCUCCGGAAGACCCGCCGGAUUUCCACACAGGGAUACACAGUCAUGCACGGACCUCCGUGGGAAGCUGUGGGUGUUAUCCAACCCGGACUGCUAAUGACGACCUUCGCUCAUGUUUGGUCGGCCAUGUUGUUUGCAGGAACGUUGCUGCAAAAGUUGAAAUUCUCUCAUCUGAGCCUGAGUGGCUGUGAUCAGCGCCGCCGCUCCCACCACGCGCAUCACGCACUGUGCGUAGGGCACCAAGUGCUGAGGGGGCACCAAAAAUAGCCUAAUGAAAUUUUUUUUUAAAAUAGGGGGAACAAGAAAGAUAUUUGAUAAUUGCUCUAGUCUAGUCCCCCCCCCCGUGCCGGAUGGUCCGUUCCGGUUGUUCGCGCGGGCGAAUAAUAAAGGAAUUAUGCUUAGGGCACCAAAAUGGCUAGCAGCGGCACUGGCUGUGAUGCACUUGGGAAUUUUAUGGUAGCUGUGAUGUAAAUCAGCAAUGUUGCAGCAGUUAAGUAACAAAUUCGCAAGCAAGGUUUAAAUCUGUUUUAAAUGUUUCCAGUGUAAACGCUGUUGCAGAGCAGAGGCAACAUACUUUUAUCUCAACGUUGAAUGGAAUUUGCAGAUUGUUUCUCGCCAAUGAGUCCAGGCCAACUUUACAGUUCAAUAAGGAGAGACUCAUUGAAAGAAGAAGUUUAAAGAGUUAUAAAAUUUGUUUUAGCUGGUUGUCCACUAAUAAAAGGGUCAGUGGUUCAAUCCCCGGCUCCUUCUGUCCACAUGUUGAAGUGUCCUUGAGCAAGACACUGAACCCUAGUUGCUCCCAAUGGUCAGGCCGGCGCCUUGCAUGGCUACUUGCCACUAUGAGAGGCAAAUUGCGAAGUGCUUUGGAUAAAACUUCUAUGUAAAUGUGGUGCAUUUACAAUAGUAACAGUGUGUACAGCAGGAAAGUCGUCAAUCAGCUGUCUGAGUUGGAAGCUGGAAAAGAAAAAACUCUUCGCGUAGUUACGGUCUGAACAAUAUAACAUGAACACAGCAAAAGCAUAUGAUUCACUUCAGUUCAGUGAUGCCUUCAGUUAGCUCCUGUGCCCUUUAGGGAAGCAUUUAUUAUGUUUCACAACUCAUUUAUUCAGGUUUUUCAUGUUUGUCACAACUCUGUAGUUGUUUUUUUUACACAUAAAUGUAAACGCUGCCUGAGUUACAUGAAAUAUUACAAUAAAAACAAAAACCCCAUUAUAUGAGGUUGUCAAGGUUUUCUCAGGUUUAAGUCGAAUCUGUUGUGCUUUUCUGUUAGAAUGAAAUCAAGCCAAUCAAUCAAAAAAAAAUGCAAUAUGUGAAAGUUAAAUCCAAGAUUAACUGCUGUGUCA